GAGCCCCAGCCUAGGAGCAUACUAGCAUCCUUGGGGAACAGCCCCCCAAAGCUGUUGGACUACAGAGUGGCAGGGAGGCUCUGAGAAUCCCUGCCCCAACCUAGUACUGAACAUCUGUAUUUCAGUGUGAUCUCUGCCACUGCCCCUCUCACUGAGCCCCGGCUCUUCCUUCAUACCUAAUGACCAGACCCACCCUACUCCUGUGAGGCCCCACCAAGAGCAGACUGGAUGAGACCCUGAAUGCAGACAGAUGCUCCUAUGGAGGCUCUCCCUGCCUUCCUGAGUGAAAAGGCAGGACCCACCUCUGACUGGCAUUGCUCCCAACCCUGCCUUAGUUGCCUGGCAACAGCUCUGCGUCUCUAGCCAGGGACACACAAUGGCCGGUGGCGGUCCAGCAGCUAAGAGGGUAGUGGUGUACCGGAAUGGGGACCCCUUCUCCCCAGGCCGCCAGCUGGUGGUGACUCAACGCCGCUUCCCCACCCUGGAGACCUUCCUCUCGGAGGUGACCUUGGCUGUGCAGGCCCCAGUGGCCGUGCGUGCUCUCUACACCCCUUGUCAUGGCCACCCUGUCACCGACCUGGCAGACCUGCAGAACGGAGGGCUGUAUGUGGCUGCUGGCUUCGAACAUUUCCACAGGCUCCCCUAUUUACCCCCUGGAGGGAAGGAUCCAGGUGGGAAGAGCAGCAGAUUGGCAGGUCCUCCCGUGACUCGGCAGCUGUGUGAUGGGGCCCUUGGACGGCAGCUACCUGCAGGUUCCCCCUGCUACAUCCAUGUGUUCAGGAAUGGGGACCUGUCAAGUCCUCCAUUCAGCCUGAAGCUGUCCCAGGCCGCCAGCGAGGACUGGGAAGCACUGUUGAAGCUCCUGACGAAGAAGGUGAAAUUACAGAGCGGGGCUGUGCACAAGCUCUGCACCCUGGAUGGGCUCCCACUGUCAGCAAGGGAGGCUCUGGUGAACGGCCAUUACUAUGUGGCCGUUGGAGAGGAUGAGUUCAAGGCCCUCCCCUAUCUGGAGCUGCUGGUGCCCAGUUCCUCACUGCCCGGGGGCUGCUGCCUUCUCUUUUUUCAUUGCAGGAGUCCCCCAGAUCCAAAGUCCAAGCCCCACAAGCAGGUGGCCCAGGGCCAUAGAGCACAGGCAAGCCAGUCCUCUCCAAAUGAAGCCAGACAGAUCAAGCCAUCUGCUUUCUAUGCCAGACCCCAACGAGCUAUUGAGCCAAGAAAUAUGUUCCCCACACUCUCAUUUCCAUCAGGAACCAAGGGAGUGUAUGGGGCUCCCCACCCAAGGAAGGAGAUGGCAGGGGCCCAGGAAGUAGCAGAUGAUGAAGACACCCAGACAGAGAAGCCCUUGGAUCAGCGAGCAGCACAGAUAGUGGAAGAGGCCCUGUUCCUGGAAGACCAGCCUGGGGCUGGGGCAGCUAUCUCAGCCUGAUGCCUGCUCCACCAUCUUGAGAUCCGGCAGCUCCAGCCAGGAACUGGGGACCUUCAUUCUGCAGCCAUCUUUUAUCCUCAGCCUCCAGCAUCCUGUUCUCAAGGAACCAGUGUCUCCUCUGGGCUCACUGAAGGGAUAAAUCGCAGCAAAGCUCAGGAUUCAAACUCAGGUCUCCUGACUUCAAAUUCAGUGCUUCCUCAGGAUUCCAGCAAGAAGACCUAAACUACAAGGUCUGGGACCAUCUUGGUUUGCUGAUGAUGAAACUGAGACCCAAGGCAGAUAAGAGACUCAUCCAAGAGCUUCUGGCGACAACUGCCGGGCCCAGGUCCGCUCAUGAACCUGCCGCAGGCGGGAGGAGGCCCGCUUCAGCAAUGGCUGCGUGCCGCCCCACAGAGCUGCC